rnacentral:rRNA from 1 species
AUUGAACGCUGGCGGAAUGCUUUACACAUGCAAGUCGAACGGCAGCACGGGGCAACCUGGUGGCGAGUGGCGAACGGGUGAGUAAUACAUCGGAACGUGCCCAAUCGUGGGGGAUAACGUAGCGAAAGUUACGCUAAUACCGCAUACGAUCUACGGAUGAAAGCGGGGGAUCGCAAGACCUCGCGCGAAUGGAGCGGCCGAUGUCAGAUUAGGUAGUUGGUGGGGUAAAGGCUCACCAAGCCGACGAUCUGUAGCUGGUCUGAGAGGACGACCAGCCACACUGGGACUGAGACACGGCCCAGACUCCUACGGGAGGCAGCAGUGGGGAAUUUUGGACAAUGGGCGCAAGCCUGAUCCAGCCAUUCCGCGUGCAGGAUG